CUCAUAGUACUAGUAACCAGAGAGGGGAGGAGAACUCAUUCACUAAAAAGCAGCACCUACACAAGUGCGUGUUCUUACUACGUCAUUGACCGAAAGCGCUGUCUAUAAAGCUGACCAGACUGAGACCGACCACUUUUGCAAGGUCCUGACCACUGCAGUCCGGGAAUAUCCAACAAGAGCUGCAGUUUAAACACAAUCAUCAAGGUGGAGACUAAUAAUAAAAUGGAUUUGGACUUUCCUGUCUUUACGAAUUGGACUCAUUUGUCUGCAUGAGGUGCAUUUGUCUGCCUUUGACUGUUUAGGUAAACUUAGCUAAACUCCACACUGAAUGGAAAGUGCUUCCUUGCUUUAUGUUGGGGACAGUUACACAAGUCUAAGUACGGUUAUUCAGUGUUAUUCUCUUGUUCUGCUAUUUUUAUAAAAGAUAGUUUUGUACCUUGUUUCUCUGUUAUUUGAUUAUUUAAUAA